rnacentral:rRNA from 1 species
GACGAACGCUGGCGGCGUGCUUAACACAUGCAAGUCGAACGGAAAGGCCCUGCUUUUGCGGGGUGCUCGAGUGGCGAACGGGUGAGUAACACGUGAGUAACCUGCCCUUGACUUUGGGAUAACUUCAGGAAACUGGGGCUAAUACCGGAUAGGAGCUCCUGCUGCAUGGUGGGGGUUGGAAAGUUUCGGCGGUUGGGGAUGGACUCGCGGCUUAUCAGCUUGUUGGUGGGGUAGUGGCUUACCAAGGCUUUGACGGGUAGCCGGCCUGAGAGGGUGACCGGCCACAUUGGGACUGAGAUACGGCCCAGACUCCUCCGGGAGGCAGCAGUGGGGAAUAUAGCACAAUGGGCGGAAGCCUGAUGCAGCAACGCCGCGUGCGGGAUGACGGCCUUCGGGUUGUAAACCGCUUUCGCCUGUGACGAAGCGUGAGUGACGGUAAUGGGGAAAGAAGCACCGGCUAACUACGU